ensembl:rRNA 5S_rRNA 5S ribosomal RNA
UCUACAGCCGUGCCACUCGGAAUAUACCUGGUCUUGUCUGAUCUCAGAAGCUAAGCAGGGUUGAGCCUGUUGGUACUUGGAUGGGAGAAAGGAAGACAAGAAUGUAAGAU